rnacentral:rRNA from 1 species
AAUCUUAGACAAUGGGCGCAAGCCUGAUCUAGCCAUGCCGCGUGAUCGAUGAAGGCCUUAGGGUUGUAAAGAUCUUUCAGCUGGGAAGAUAAUGACUGUACCAGCAGAAGAAGCCCCGGCUAACUCCGUGCCAGCAGCCGCGGUAAUACGGAGGGGGCUAGCGUUGUUCGGAAUUACUGGGCGUAAAGCGCACGUAGGCGGACCAGAAAGUUAGGGGUGAAAUCCCGGGGCUCAACCUCGGAACUGCCUCUAAAACUCCUGGUCUUGAGUUCGAGAGAGGUGAGUGGAAUUCCGAGUGUAGAGGUGAAAUUCGUAGAUAUUCGGAGGAACACCAGUGGCGAAGGCGGCUCACUGGCUCGAUACUGACGCUGAGGUGCGAAAGCGUGGGGAGCAAAC